AUUGAACGCUGGCGGCAGGCCUAACACAUGCAAGUCGAGCGAGCGGCGGACGGGUGAGUAAUGUAUGGGGAUCUGCCCGAUAGAGGGGGAUCACUACUGGAAACGGUGGCUAAUAGCGCAUACCAUAGGAUGCGCCCAAGUGGGAUUAGGUAGGUGGUGAGGUAAAGGCUCACCAAGCCGACGAUCUCGAGCUGGUCUGAGAGGAUGACCAGCAACACUGGGACUGAGACACGGCCCAGACUCCUACGGGAGGCAGCAUUGGGGAAUAUUGCGCAAUGGGGGCAACCUGACGCAGCCAUGCCGCGUGAAUGAAGAAGGCCUUCGGGUUGUAAAGUUCUUUCGGUAGCGAGGCGUUAACUACAGAAGAAGCACCGGCUAACUCCGUGCCAGCAGCCGCGGUAAUAC
rnacentral:rRNA from 1 species